AUUGAACGCUGGCGGCAGGCCUAACACAUGCAAGUCGAACGAGUCGCGGACGGCUGAGUAAUGUCUGGGAAACUGCCUGAUGGAGGGGGUUCACUACUGGAAACGGUAGCUAAUACCGCAUAACAUCCGAUGUGCCCAUAUGGGAUUAGCUUGUUGGGGGGGUAACGGCUCACCAAGGCGACGAUCCGUAACUGGUCUGAGAGGAUGACCAGUCACACUGGAACUGAGACACGGUCCAGACGCCUACGGGAGGCAGCAGUGGGGAAUAUUGGACAAUGGGCGAAAGCCUGAUCCAGCCAUGCCGCGUGUGUGAAGAAGGUCUUCGGAUUGUAAAGCACUUUAAGUUGGGAGGCGUUACCAACAGAAUAAGCACCGGCUAACUUCGUGCCAGCAGCCGCGGUAAUUC
rnacentral:rRNA from 1 species